rnacentral:rRNA from 1 species
GACGAACGCUGGCGGCGUGCUUAACACAUGCAAGUCGAACGGGCCUGUCUUCUUUUUUGGGGGGUGGGUUGAGUGGCGAACGGGUGAGUAUCACGUGAGUAACCUGCCCUUCGGUCCUGGAUAACCGCUUGAAAGGGCGGCUAAUACGGGGUGGUCCGGUUGGUCCGCAUGGGCUGGUCGGGAUAGAUUCACUGUUUUUGGUGUUUCGGCGGGGGAUGGGCUCGCGGCCUAUCAGCUUGUUGGUGGGGUGAUGGCCUACCAAGGCGGUGACGGGUAGCCGGCCUGAGAGGGUGGGCGGCCACACUGGGACUGAGAUACGGCCCAGACUCCUGCGGGAGGCAGCAGUGGGGGGUGUUGCACAAUGGGCGGAAGCCUGAUGCAGCGACGUCGCGUGAGGGAUGGAGGCCUUCGGGUUGUGAACCUCUGUUUCCGGUGGUGAAGGCCCUGUCCGUGUGGUGGGGUUGACGGUAGCCGGGGAUGAAGCGCCGGCUAACUACGUG